ACAGUAACCGAUCAGUGAUGGUCCCAUCCAAUUAUAGCUUCAAGAGAGAUCCGGGGGAGAGUUUGCCACGAGCAGUGCUCCUGGUGGAUCCGCCACUUAACGACAUGCCCAUAGUUGCUCUGCUUUCUGAUCCGCACUUUAAGGACAUCUCCAUGGGAGCUAUGAAAGGCAGCAGCAGCAGCCCCGGCUCUCCGUCGCAAUACCGUCCCCGGAAACCAGUCCAUGCCACCAACGU